ensembl:lncRNA
GGGGACAGGAGUGCACAGAGGGGCCGAGCUCUCCCACCUUAUUGCCAUGAUUUAAAUAAGAACAGCUCACAUUUAUAAAGCACUUCUAAAGCAGACAUUUUCUCAUUUGAUCCUCACCUUAAUCCUGGCUGUUAUUAUCACCCCCAAUUUACAGAUGAAGAAACUAAGACUUGGAAGGGUUAAGCCCAGAUCACAGCACAAGAGGGCCAUUAAGUGGAGCCAUAGUGAAUGAUGCACUGGGUCUGGAGACGGAAAGGUUAGGAUUCUUACCAGUCGCCCCAGCCCCGGGUCUUGUCACGCCCCUGAAUUUGAAAGUCCGGUUGCCUUCGGCGAGGUGCUUCUCCAUGUGUCGCUCGUACUGCUCCUUCUUGGAGAAGGUGUAAUUGCACGUGCUGCAGAUGAAGGACUUUUUGAUGACGUGCAUGACGUCGGCACAGAGCUCACACGCGUACAGUGUGGUGUGCUUGAUUUCCGGCUUCUCCUUCACACCGUGCUCCUGACUCAGGUGGCUCCGGAGCUCUCGGGUCUCCUUGUAGAACUUGGGACACCGGGUGCACAUGUAGAUUUUCUCAAGGCUGUGCACUACCAGGUGGCGCUGGAGCUUGAAGGGCUUGGGGAACUGCUUUCCACAGUGGUGGCAAUCCCUGGAAGGAUCUUUGCACUGCGGGUGCAUGGGGACCACUUUGGAAGGGAGCUCGCCAGUAGGUCCGGGAUCAGGAGAGCCUACUUUGGAAGAGCUGGAUAAGGCGGUGGCUGCGGCAGAGAAGCUGCUGUUGGCAGCAGUGUUGGUCUGAGCCAAGGGCUUGUUCUUGCCGCUGCCUUCAGCAAUGUCCGGACUUCCUUUGGGUUCUUGAACUUUGGGGUCUUUGCUCUUACUAGCGGAGUGCUUGCCCCGGGAGGGCUUGGGCUUCCGAUUCAUGAUGGUGUUCAGAAACUGAGUGACUGCACUGUCCUCUCCAAAGCAGGGGGGCAACCCCGUCAUGCACUUCUGAACCUGACCUUUGCGGGCAAACUUGGCGGCAUGCUCCCGGAGGUGUUCGUUGUACAUCCAGACGUCCGAGAUCUCCUUCAGGCACAUGCCGCAGGCCCAAAGGCCUACCUUGUUUUUUGCAUGCUUCCCUUUUAAAUGCUCCUUCAGCUGCUCCCUGGAACUGAACUUCCGCUGGACGCACAUAUAGCACGUUGGCGGAGGAGAUGGGUUGUGAGUGAGCUUGUGAAAGUCCAGCUCUCCCAGCGUGAGAAACCACUGGAAGCACACUUUGCACUUGUAGUGCUUUUCCCGGGUCUUGAUGGUCAGGUCGCUGCGACUCCUGCCCCUUUUCCCUUCCUCUUCUUUUGCUUUGUUAGGUUGCAUGUGUUCAUUCGCCUUCUUGAAACUUAAAGUGCUUGGGUCGGACUGGCCUGAACAGUCUCCGCAGGUACUGAAGAAAUGCAUGUCUCUCAUCUCAAACUUGGUGUUCAGCAGCUCGAUGUCGAUGGGAUGAAGAUCCGGGGAGCUGGGGUUCCUCUGGAGAUGGCCGGUGUAGGUCUCUACCUCCAGCUCUGGGGGCUCCGGGCUCACUUCUCCCAGAGAAUACUCGGUUUUAGCUUCCAAAGACGACUUGAAAGGCAUCUCGUUACAGGGAUCCAGGACUUCCAGGUCAUUCCAAACAGCCGGCGAUAUGUGUAGGCUGGGGAUGGCCUCCAGCCUGUUGUUUGGGCAGAGAUAGGUCAGCAUUUCGUCAUCAUCCAGAUUGAGGCCCAUUUUGUGGUCCCCGUCUGUUUCACUGUCCACCUUAUGAGUCCCUAAGCCGGGACUCAGAGACCAGGCAUCAUUCCCCUGGCACAUGUCCAGGGAAAAGGCAUCGUGGAAAGACAUGGACUCAUAACUGCAGGGGUCCUCCUGGGUGACGCAGAAAGAGUCGGUAUCACUGAGAUCUGACGGUAGGCGGAUGGAGAACAUCUCUGUGGACCCCACCACCUGGCUUCUGGUCUCUAUAACUGGUUUGGGUUUCUUGGGCCCUUUCCCAUAAACACGGGUGCACUUCCUCCGGGAGAAGUGAUCGUCCCUUGGGAAGAGGAGGGAAAAUGUUGCAUCAUCAUCAAAUAAGUGCUGGAGGUCCACUUUGGUCUCAUCUUUGGCAAAGGACUCUUUGCCCUGCUCCCCCUCCCGCUGGGCUUCUGAAUCCAUCACAGCAUCCUCUGAGAAGACCGGGGGUAGACCGGCGAUUGACAUGGUCUUUCUUUUUUCCAGAUCUGAAGGUGCUAAGGGCACAUCUGGCUCAGCAGGACUUAAGGGUUCCCGUUUCAAGGGCAAAUCACACUUUCCCAAUGGGCUGUCUCCUAAUUUCCUUCUUUCCAUGACAUAUUCCUCUACAUUUGUACCAUGAGUAUCUUCAUGCAUCUCAUUGUAAACGCCACACAGCCCUUCCUCUUCGGGCCUCAGGAAAUUGUUUUCCCAGGAUUCCUCUGAAAUCUGGACAUGAUCUCUUGUAGACAGGCUCUCCAUCCUCCCUUGACCACCUAUCAAAUCACUGAUGGUCUUCUGGCCAAGUGUCUCUUCUGUAAAUAGUAUCUGAUUUCCCAUUUCAGCCACAUCCUCAAAAGUCUCUUGGACUGGUUUGGUGCAGAGAGAUGAAUAAGACCAGUCCUUUUCCGAUGGUGAGAGGGAACUAUUUGGCUGCCCAGGAUAACUGGCAAUGGUAGAUGAUGAACUUGAGUCAGGUCUAGCUAAACUCACAUCCGGAGCAACUUCUGGGAUACUCUUCUCCAAGUCAGAAUCCUCAAAGCAUCCCUUUUUCCUUGGGAAUCUUUUCACUUGCUUUUUUCUCACUCCUUGAAUUAAUUUCCCUUCCGAAUCGCUGCUUAAGUCUGCAGGUUCUUUGCUUUGGCGCUUCCUACCUUUUCGCCUCCUGUCUAAUUUUUUAGGACUGGGCUUCCUUCUGUGUGAUCUGUCUGAUUUCCCAGACUCCAGGUCCUGAGGUUGUAUCUUUGUUUUGUCAUCCACCAAGUCCGAGUGCAGGAGUUUUGGGGUCACUGGAGGAGCUGCAACCCUGAGGCUACUUAGCUCUGGACUGACCUCCUGGUGUUCUUGGGUGUUGGGCUCCUCCUCCAGAGGUGGUCCAGGAGUAGGGCUGCUGUUGAUUAGGGAAUCACAUGCCUUCUCUUUCACUGUUAUGGCCCUUAGGUUUUUCUUUGAGUGUCUUGAUAUUUUUGGUCCUUUUUCCAAAGGAGCAGAGCUCGAUCUGGUUGUUUUAUUUGGCAGCGAGGGGCCAUCGUUCUUUAUCCGAUGUUUCACAGCUUUGUGUCUCAUCAAGCCGGGUUUCGAUUUGAAGGACAAGGAGCAGAUAUCGCAUGUGACUUGUAGCUCAUUUGACUGGGGGGGAUUUCUUUUCCAUUGGCCAUUCCUCAAAGGUGGUGGCUUCUUUUUAAAUCUACUCUUUUCUGGGACGGGAUCCAGGUAGUUUUGCACAUCACCGAUGAAAGAUUCUGGCGGCUCAUUUCCUUGGCUUUUAGAAGGACCGAUACUUAAACUGUCCUUUCUUGGGUCUAUACUUGGAGAAGCAGAAUUGAAGGAGCUCACUGCUGUUGCUGCCAAAAGGUGGGCAUCCUCUGGAUCCCCAAUGUUGGUUUCAGGCAUCUUUGUAAGUUUAGGGUCCAUAGUUACAGAGUACAACUUCUUUCCAUUGUUUUUAGCUUCUUUUUCUUGUUGAGAAAUGGGCUCUUGCUCUACUUUAGUUUCCUCACUAAACAGAGAGUGCCUGAGACCCUCUGGGUAAACUUCAAUUUCCCCUUUGGAGUGGAUAUUGAGAGUCACAUCGGAGAGGGACUUUGAUUGGUUUUCCUUAUGGUGGGGGCAUUCCAACUCUAUGCAGGUGCAUUUCAAGGAUGUUCUUCUGACAUCAUCCUGGCCCAAGUGGGAAAUGUAGGAAAUGGUGGAGUCAUGUAUUGGUGCUUUUGGGGAGACAUCUUCUGCCAGGGGAGAGGAAAUAGCAUGACUGGGGUCAAAGGGAUUAGGAGAGGUCCUCGGUUUCUCUUCUCCAACCUCCACUUGGUUAUUUAAAAUGUCUUCCUCUGUACAGCAUUUGCCAUUGUCAUCUGCAACUUGUGGAAGGGAGAGCCUGAUGAUCUGAUCCUGAAAUAGUGACUGAGUUAAAUGAAUAUUUUCACUGGUAUUCUUUUCUAUUGGGCUCUGUGCAGGGUCACAUUUUAGACUUUUCUCAGGAUCAUAGAUGGUUUUCUCCAAAGACCAAAUUGAUUGAGAGGUUGAUUUCCUCUCUGGAUCGUGUAGUAGGACACCAUAGUCAUCUUUUUCAGCUUGAGGAUCCACCGUAGUCAAGAGGUCUUCAGCUCCAUUACUCUGCACACAUUCCUGGUCAGAAACUGUUGCCUGCAAAGAAAGACCGAAGGCUGAGUCUUCCCCUGAGAGAGGGGACUGAAGGUGCUUCUUUGGAGAGACACUGGCUUCUUCUGAAAAUGAUCCUGAAAUUGUUUGGUUUUUCCAGUGGUCCUUCUCCAAGAGGUGCUUGGAGCUUGGGGAAUAAGCAGGCAGUACUGUUAGCCCAUCAAGUAAUUUCUCAGGGGUCCUUUUGCUUUUCUUAGCAGAGGGUAAGUGCUUCUCCUCCUUCCCCAGAGCACUACCUUUGCCCUGUAUUUCUGUGAUUGGAUCACCCAGUUCCUCUUUCUCAAGAGAGACAGGGCUUAAUGAGAAUUUUUGGUGCUUUUUCAAUGUCCAGGUUGCAAUGCUGUGCUCUUGUUCUAGGUCUCUGUUGGGUUGAUCUUCCCUUUUUGUCAGUUUGGCCACUGGGAAGUUAGAUGUGUCACUGAAUGGGAUGGAAUUGGUGUUUUGUGAGACACCAUCUGAGCAGAUGUGAAGAUCAUCUGAUUCUGGACUCUGAUGUAGCUCGGGACUCCCCACUAUGGAUUGCUUUAAAGGGAAUGAUUCUGUUUCACUGAGUAAAUCCAGAUCGUCACCUGUCUCUGCAAACAGCUGAAUUCCUAUUGUGGGGGUUAGAGGUGCCAUCUGCCCAUCUUCCAUGAUUCCAUCAUCAUUGCUGCAGUUACAAUCCAUGUGCCCAUCUUCCUGACUCUCCUCUUUCAGAUCAGGAGAGCUGGUGCUUGGGAGUUGGAGACUGGCAGAGAGUAGCUCUGUGAGGCAAGAGGGCAUUUUUUCUUCCUCAUUAUUUUGAACUGUCCUGGCCACAAAGAGCUGGAGCUCUUGUAGGGGAUUUGCUAUUGAACUCUGGGAUACUGGUUCUAUUUCAUCACCACAAGCUGGAUCUUUGGCCAAACUCAGCACCUCAAAUAAUGAAGCUUUUGGGUUGCCAGCCUUCUCACAGAUUGACAUCGGUGAAUAGGAGAUUUCCUUGUUCCCCUCCAAUACAGGAUCCUCUUCACUGGGCUGGGAGCUGACUGUGCUCUUAGGAGUUUCUGCCCUAUUUGCUUUCUUUAAAGCAUUUUCCUCUGAGGUGAUGAAAUUUCUGGCAUCCAAAGAUGAAGGGGUCUCCAGAACUGGAACUCUAUCGUCCUGAAAAACCAUUUCAGAUUUCAAAAAGGUUACCGGAUUGUCAAAUGCUUCUAGUUCAGGUGGCUCACUGAGUGUCUGAGACAUCUCAUGGGGUUCUGGAAACAUGUCUUCUCUAGUUUUUCCUGGGAGAAGUUGCAGAGGAUCCUGUUUAGUUAUUUUGCUAGCUUCCUUAUUUUCAGAACUCAUAGAUUCUCUGAUGGGGCUGCUCUUUGUCAAGCUUUCUGCAGAGGCUAAAGGCUCUGGGUUUUCAGACACAUCAGAAAAGGAGGGAUCAGCACUAAUGAGGGAUUCAUUUUCGAUCUCAGAGCAGCUGGUCUGCUUUGAAAUAUCAGUUUCCUGGAGCUCGAGCUGAAACUGGUCACAAGUCAAGGGGGAACCAAAAGGAUCUAAAGUGACCGUAUCUUCAUGUGCACUCGGGGACAUGCUUGUUGUCAGUGGGUCAAAUGAUAGUGCACAUGGCCAGCUUUCUUGAUGACUUCCAUAGUCUCCAUCCAUACUGGCCACUUCUUUGUCCUCACCUGGAUCUGUUCCACUGGGACUUUUGGGUGCUAUGAGAUUUGUGCCCUCAAGAUGAGUGAGCUCAUGGGUUAAGAACAAAUGCUUCUCGUGUUCAGAUUCUUGUCCUAGAGGCGAAGGUGAAAACUGUUUUGUUGUUUCAGGUGCAUCCAAAGCAAUAAAGUGCUCAGGAGAAUGUAGGACGCCAGGCGCUGCAUCAUCAAGUUUGCUAGUUUGAAGUUCACUUUCCAGUUCUGUGACCAAUCGCUUGAUUUCCAGCUCAUCCUCUGAUAUGUUAUUCAUAAAAGCCUUGUUUCCUGCAAGCACCUACCAUGUCUAAUACACUUUGCUAAAUCCUGGGAAUACCAAGAGGAGGAAAAGUUGAACAGAUGCAAGACUUGAGGAGGGAGUCAUCCCUAGACAAUUCUACUGUCUGUGAGAGGUAGGUAUUUAUUUUUAGUUAGUAUAAUGGAAGUUCCUUGGGGAAAGGGGGUAGCUCCCUUUUAUUUUGAUAACUGUUUGUUGCACUGAAUUGAAUUAGAAGGAAGGAUCUCUUUUAGUUGGGGUGAAGGUUUCACAGAGGAAGUUCUAGAUUAGGGAUUCUCAACCUUUCUUAUAUUCUGGUCCCCACCUGGUCUGGUGAGAUCCAGGGACUUUUUCUCAGAAUCAUGUUUCUUAGUGCAUCAAAUAAGAGAUCUAGGAUUACAAGUGCAAAACCUCUGUGUAUGUGCGCAUGUAUAUAUGUAUACAAUGUACAUAUGACAUAUAUACAACACAUGCAUGCAUAUUUGUAUACAUAUAAACAUAUAUAUAUAGACAUAUGGAAAUUAUUAUAUUGAAAUGCAUUAUCAAAAUACUGACCAUCCUCCUUCCUACCUCCAGGUUCACAGCUCCUCCUGCUAGAUCAUAGAUACAUAGACUGAGAAUAGAAGGAACCUCAGGGGUAACUGAG